CGUGCAUCCCCGGGGGACCGCUGACACGGCGGUUGAGAGGGAAGCGCGAGCUUCCGACCCGCUGAACCUGAUCCGGCUGACACCGGCGUAGGGAGGGAGCGGUGCCCACCC
rnacentral:ncRNA from 2 species